AGUAUUGUAGUUGAAAGUUACAACAGUAAAUUGCAGCUUUAAAGGUAUGAUUAUAUUCAUUAAUACUU
rnacentral:tRNA from 1 species